rnacentral:lncRNA from 1 species
CUCAGGCCACAUCACCAAAUGUGCCAGGAUAGCCUUGAACUCAUCAAUUGCUGGGGGCACCUCAAACUCAACUCCAAAAUUGAUCUAAUGAAUUUUCCCAAACCACAUUCCCUUCUUGCAUUUCUAAGAGAAUGGAUUCCCAUUCAUCUGACUACAGUGCUAUCCUGAAAGGAGAUCCGGAGACUAAGAUUCACCUGAGAUCCGGAGACUAAGAUUCACCUGCAGGUGAUUCAUUUGGGUCUCAACUCGAGCACUCCUCUCUCAAGAAGCCUUUCAUGGUAUGAAGAGUGAGAAAGAGUUCCCUGCGCCAUCUCCAUUGAAUCAUGUUAGGCCUUAAUGUACCUUUCCUUUAUAACACUUACUGAAUGAUUAAUUUGGCAUUUACUUACCUGGCUAUUUUUUUCAGGGUUUAGGAUUUAUACUAGAUUGUAAACUCCAGAAGAGUGUUCCAGGUCUAGUUUAGGUCACCAUGUAUCCCUGAUUAGUACCACACAUCCCAGUGCACCAUGGUUCUCAACAAAUACAUGUUGUAUAAAUGGAUAAAUGACAGG